CACACACACACAUUAUAUUUAAGUCACCCUCCUGCACCUUAAAGGUAGGAAACAGGAGGGUGACUUAAAUAUAAUGUGUGUGUGUG